rnacentral:tRNA from 1 species
GAAGUAUACUGAAAAGUGAGAGCUGCUAACUCAUCACUCUAGCGGUUAAAUUCCGUUUAUAUUUCU